GAUGAACGCUGGCGGCGUGCCUAAUACAUGCAUGUCGAGCGAACAGAUAAGGAGCUUGCUCCUUUGACGUUAGCGGCGGACGGGUGAGUAACACGUGGGUAACCUACCUAUAAGACUGGAAUAACUCCGGGAAACCGGGGCUAAUGCCGGAUAACAUGUUGAACCGCAUGGUUCUACAGUGAAAGGCGGCUUUGCUGUCACUUAUAGAUGGACCCGCGCCGUAUUAGCUAGUUGGUGAGGUAACGGCUCACCAAGGCAACGAUACGUAGCCGACCUGAGAGGGUGAUCGGCCACACUGGAACUGAGACACGGUCCAGACUCCUACGGGAGGCAGCAGUAGGGAAUCUUCCGCAAUGGGCGAAAGCCUGACGGAGCAACGCCGCGUGAGUGAUGAAGGUCUUCGGAUCGUAAAACUCUGUUAUUAGGGAAGAACAAAUGCGUAAGUAACUGUGCGCGUCUUGACGGUACCUAAUCAGAAAGCCACGGCUAACUACGUG
rnacentral:rRNA from 1 species